rnacentral:rRNA from 1 species
ACUCCUACGGGAGGCAGCAGUCCAGAAUCUUCCACAAUGGACGAUACCCUGAUGGAGCGACGCCGCGUGAGGGAUUAAGGCUUUCUGAGUCGUAAACCUCUGUCAGAAGGGAAAAACAUUUUCUUUAUUAAUAGUAAUGUAAACUGACGUUACCUUCAGAGGAAGCCCCGGCUAACUACGUGCCAGCAGCCGCGGUAAUACGUAGGGGGCAAGCGUUGUCCGGAAUCAUUGGGGGUAAAGCGCGCGUAGGCGGUCCGAUAAGUCCACUGGAAAAGUCAACGGCUCAACUGUUGAAAGCCGGUGGAUACUGUCGGGCUGGAGUCCGGAAGAGGAAAGGGGAAUUCCUGGGGUAACGGUGGAAUGCGCAAAUAUCAGGAGGAACACCUAUAGCGAAGGCAGCUUGCUGGGACGGUACUGACGCUAAGGCCCGAAAGCGUGGGGAGCAAACAGGAUUAGAUACCCUGGUAGUCCACGCCGUAAACGAUGAGAACUAGGUGUGGGAGGUGUCGACUCCUCCCGUGCCGUCGCUAACGCAUUAAUUUCUCCGCCUGGGGAGUACGGCCGCAAGGCUAAAACUCAAAGGAAUUGACGGGGGCCCCGCACAAGCAGCGGAGCAUGUGGUUUAAUUCGAUGCAACGCGAAGAACCUUACCUGGGUUUGAAAUGUUGGUGACCGGUGUGGAAACACAUCUUUCCUUCGGGACACCAUCACAGGUGGUGCAUGGCUGUCGUCAGCUCGUGUCGUGAGAUGAUGGGUUAAGUCCCGCAACGAGCGCA